UACGUAGGCAGCAAGCGUUGUUCGGAAUUACUGGGCGUAAAGAGUGUGUAGGUGGUGUCGUAAGUUUGGUGUGAAAUCUCCCGGCUUAACUGGGAGGGUGCGCCGAAGACUGCGAUGCUGGAGUAUGGGAGAGGAAAGCGGAAUUCCUGGUGUAGCGGUGAAAUGCGCAGAUAUCAGGAGGAACACCGGUGGCGAAGGCGGGUCUCUGGGCCGAUAUUGACGCUGAGGAGCGAAAGCGUGGGGAGCGAACAGG
rnacentral:rRNA from 1 species